AUGUUGGUGGCAGUGAAGGUUUGUGAUGUGAAUGGGGAGAUUCCAGAGGGAAGCGCCACUGGUCCUGGCACUGGGAAGCCCUCGGCGGGAGGGCUGGCCCCUCACCCAUUCACCCUGAGGAAAGGCCUGGCCCCCACCUCCCCCUUGAGCCCCCUCGCUUCCCAACGCUCCGUCCCCCCCCCCCGCCCGCCUUUCGACCCCUUUGCUGAUGCAAGUAAGGGUGAUAACCUGCUUCCUGCUGGCACUGAGGAUUAUAUCCAUAUAAGAAUUCAACAGAGAAACGGCAGGAAGACCCUUACUACUGUCCAAGGGAUCGCUGAUGAUUACAAUAAAAAGAAAUUAGUGAAGGCGUUUAAGAAGAAAUUUGCCUGCAAUGGUACUGUAAUUGAGCAUCCAGAAUAUGGAGAAGUAAUUCAGCUACAGGGUGACUAGUGCAAGAACAUAUGCCAGUUCCUUGUAGAGAUUGGACUGGCUAAGGACGAUCAGCUGAAGGUUCAUGGGUUUUAAGUGUUUGUGGCUCACGGAAGCUUAAGUGAGGAUUUCCUUGCAAUGAGUAGAAUUUCCCCUCUGUCCCUUGUCACAAGUUUAAAAACCUCACAGCUCGUAUAAUGUAACCAUUUGGGGUCUGCUUUUAACUUGGACUAGUGUAACUCCUUCAUGCAAUAAACUGAAAAGAGCCAUGCUGUCUA